GUGAGGAAUUUUCCGCAAUGGGCGAAAGCCUGACGGAGCAAUGCCGCGUGAAGGAUGAAGGCCUAUGGGUUGUAAACUUCUUUUCUCAGAAAAGAAUUAUGACGGUAUCUGAGGAAUAAGCAUCGGCUAACUCUGUGCCAGCAGCCGCGGUAAGACAGAGGAUGCAAGCGUUAUCCGGAAUGAUUGGGCGUAAAGCGUCUGUAGGUUGUUUAAAAAGUAUUCUGUCAAAGAUUAGGGCUUAACCCUAGAUAGGCAGAAUAAACUUUUAAGCUAGAGUUUGGUAGAGGCAGAGGGAAUACCCGGUGGAGCGGUGAAAUGCGUAGAUAUCGGGAGGAACACCAAAGGCGAAGGCACUCUGCUGGGCCAAUACUAACACUGAGAGACGAAAGCGAGGGGAGCAAAUGGGAUUAGAUACCCGAGUAGUCC
rnacentral:rRNA from 1 species